rnacentral:rRNA from 1 species
AAGGAUCAUUAUCGAGUUUUGACUGGGUUGUAGCUGGCCUUCCGAAGGCAUGUGCACGCCCUGCUCAUCCACUCUACACCUGUGCACUUACUGUGGGUUUUACGGGUCGUGAAAUKGGCUCGUUCAUUCGGGCUUGUUGAGCGCACUUGUUGCCUGCGUUUAUCACAAACUCYAUAAAGUAUUAGAAUGUGUAUUGCGAUGUAACGCAUCUAUAUACAACUUUCAGCAACGGAUCUCUUGGCUCUCGCAUCGAUGAAGAACGCAGCGAAAUGCGAUAAGUAAUGUGAAUUGCAGAAUUCAGUGAAUCAUCGAAUCUUUGAACGCACCUUGCGCUCCUUGGUAUUCCGAGGAGCAUGCCUGUUUGAGUGUCAUGAAAUCUUCAAUCUACAAGCUUCUUAUGGGAGUUUGUAGGCUUGGACUUGGAGGCUUGUCGGUCCUUUACAGGUCGGCUCCUCUCAAAUGCAUUAGCUUGGUUCCUUGCGGAUCGGCUUGUCGGUGUGAUAAUGUCUACGCCGSGACCGUGAAGCGUGUUUGGGCGAGCUUCUAACCGUCUCGUUACGGAGACAACUUUAUGACCUCUGACCUCAAAUCAGGUAGGACUACCCGCUGAACUUAA